rnacentral:rRNA from 1 species
AGAGUUUGAUCCUGGCUCAGGAUGAACGCUAGCGGCAGGCUUAACACAUGCAAGUCGAGGGGUAUAUAGUAGCUUGCUAUUAUAGAGACCGGCAAACGGGUGCGGAACACGUACACAACCUGCCUUUGUCUUGGGGAUAGCCUUCUGAAAAGGAGAUUAAUACCCAAUAGUAUAAUUGAAUGGCAUCAUUUAAUUAUUAAAGAAAUUCGGACAGAGAUGGGUGUGCGUAAGAUUAGGUAGUUGGUGAGGUAACGGCUCACCAAGCCCACGAUCUUUAGCUGAUGUGAGAGCAUGAUCAGCCACACGGGCACUGAGACACGGGCCCGACUCCUACGGGAGGCAGCAGUGAGGAAUAUUGGUCAAUGGACGCAAGUCUGAACCAGCCAUGCCGCGUGAAGGAUGAAGGCGUUCUGCGUUGUAAACUUCUUUUAUCUGGGAAGAAACCACAGAUUUCUAUUUGUGUUGACGGUACCAGAGGAAUAAGCACCGGCUAACUCCGUGCCAGCAGCCGCGGUAAUAC